UGCCCCAUGGCUGAGUUGGUCACAGCGUCCGACUGUUAAAAGUAGAUUUACUUUGAAGCUCAUCGGAAGGUCGUGAGUUCGAGCCUCACUGGGGCAG